GCAAUAGCACCAAAUUCACUUUUCUCAUUCCAUAAUGGCGGAGAGACAUUUUAAUGGUAUUUAUAAUGUAUAUUUUCUGCCGUACUCCAUUAACUACUCCCAGACACUGUUCAUAGUCAAACAAACGUCAAAAUUACAAACCCAAAAAAAUAUAAGUAAAGAAGAAAAAAAGUACGAACCCUACAACUGCUAGAGCUAGACUGUUUAACAAGACGAGAGGGAGCUGUAAAUUUGUAGGUUACUUUGGGUGACAAGAGCAUGUGAUAUUUCAAAAUGUGUGAAGAGAAUCUAAUCAAUCCAAAGGACUACAUAGAUAUGGGUGCAAGGCAAUAGUAAUCACAAAAAAACUUUAAUUUGCCCCACACUACCCAAUGCUUUCACUCUCUUACCAAACAAAAGAAAAACAAAAUAUUAGCACUACCCUUACUUGCCAUAUCUCAUUUCCUACACCCAUUAUAUAUACUCCCCUCUCCUUUCAACAAUCCUCACUUCUCUCUUCAUUCGCUGUUUCAUCUUAGUAGCAGUUUUGAGUUGUUUCUAAAUUGCUCUUCUUGUUUUUUGUUUUUUUUUUCAUUUUUCAUUUUCUACCUAGGGUUAUCUUUUUCAGUCUUUUUUUUUCUUUCCUUUACCACACAUCUGUAUAUAUAUGUAGAUCGAUUCAAGAAGCCUUGUGGUUUUCUGGGUUUUGAUCUUUUUCUUUUGUUGUUAUGAGAGGUUUGUGUCUAAGGUUUUUUUGAGAUGGAAGUUGAGGACAGUCUUUGGGCAGUUUCUUAGGACAGGAUUUAGGUUGACUUUUGUUGUCUUUAUAUGUGAUAUAAGAAUGUUUUAGGGUUUUGAGAGUGGAGCUCCUUGAAGUCCAACAGAGGAUCUAACAGGUAAGAUUGAGCUGCUGACCUAUGGAUUCCUCAGCCCUAUCUAUUAUUUGAUUGGAUAGGUUUGUGGGUUGCAUAUGUCAGGAGCUUCAUUGCCCUAAGUUGGAUCCCUUUUUGGAUUGAAGGGAGCUCUACAUUCAUUUGACCAGAUUUGUAUUCUUGUUGUCUUUAAUUUCUUUUAUGUUUUGUAGAGAUCUAGCAUCUGAUUUUAUUAUCCAGGUCUCUAGAUCUUUUUUCCUAUAAAUAGGAUCUGAAGAAAAAAUUUAGAAUACAUCUGUAUAACUUCAUUCUUUGUUUGAUUAUUUGCCAAAUUUGCUGGAAUUUGUUUUUUAAUAUUUGACUUUUUAAGUUUCAGGUCUGUAGAUCUUAAUUCCUAUUUCUGGGUUCUGAAGAAAUCGAAGUUUAUCAGCUUGUUGGAUUUGCAAAAUCUAUCAGCGCAGGUUUAUCAGAUAAAGCAAGCCCCAGCAGCUUUUUCCUUUGUCCAGAUUUGAGAUGCAGAAAACAUUUUUACAUCUGUUUUUUUGCAGUAGUGUACAAUUAAGGAAAUAGUUUUAACUUCAUCUUCUUUGUAACAAAACAUGUAUAUAUAUUACAUUAUUUCUGUAAAUCGAUAACGCAUCGUUAAGUGAAUGUCUAGUGUUUUCUAUAAAUAACAGUUUUGGGUUAAUUCUGUACUAGUUUUCUUUAACGAAAAAAUAAACUUAGAAAUAUCAGCCAGUAGUCUUACUUUAAUAACCAGUUAGAUAAAUAUUAUUUUUGUAAUUUUAGGGUUUAUAGGCUAGGACUUUGCUCGCUGUCUGAUACUUGUCCUUUUCGUUCUAGAUUUUCGUGCAAAUAGAAGCAUUAUAAACUGGUAACUCCAUUAUUUAACAUUUCUUCAAAGGACAUUUUAAUAUAUUUCACUAAACUAUAUCUUGCGGCGGUAGUAACAUCACCUAACCUAAUAACUAUGGCUUGAAAGGAAUGUAGUGGAG
rnacentral:lncRNA from 1 species